AAACAUUAAAAAAAGUCUAAGGUAAUACAAUUAUAUUCAACUAAAAAUAAUCACAAUAAUUUGCACUUAUGAGUUAAUGUGAUAAUCAUGUGUAAAAACUCUUUUCAACUAUUAUUUUUCACAAAAUAAUUUUGCGGAUCAGAUUGCUCGAAGCGCUUGUGUUAUUUACCGAGAAGAUGCAGCCCUGUUGGUUUUGAUUUCUGUAUCGCAUCGCGGUGAGUUUCUAUUUCUUGGUAAUUCGGUUGUGAAAUGACUAUUAAUUACAAGCACAGCAUCAUCAACGGUGAUUGCAAGAACUACUGCAAUCCCUGCGGUUUUUCCUCUUGGUAAAUGCGUUCUGGUCGUGACCAAGGGUGGUCUCCCAAAUCGGCCGGGAAUAAGUGGCGCUGUCCAUCGGCAACCCAACUGAGGUUCCGUUCCCAUCCAUAAUCGAUCCGAAAGUCAUAAUCGUACGAACUAAUCAAGGCUAUCAUAGAAUCCAUCGUAGUCCAAUUUUUCGUGAAAUCUACGAAAAUGCUAUUAAGUUCGAGUAGCUACGAACGCAGCGCUUGCU